GGGCCACAGCUCAGUGGCAGAGCAUCUGCCUUGCAUGCGGGAGGUCUGACGUUCAAUCCCCAGCAUCUCCA